ensembl:rRNA 5S_rRNA 5S ribosomal RNA
AGCUACGGCCAUAUCACCCUGAACAUGCCUGAUCUCGUCUGAUCUCAGAAGCUAAGCACGGUAGGGCCUGGUUAGUACUUGGAUGGAAGACCACCUGGGAAUACCAGGUGCUGUAGGGG